UUUAAGCCGUUUCGUUUUGACGGCAAGAGUUUCCUGAAGAAUUUGCUUCGUCAUACCGAGGUGAAUUGAACGGACCAGCGCACCGCACAGCCAGUCAGCUUUGAGGUUAUAAAUUGUUCAGUGUGAAUACGAAAGAUACUUUUGAAGCAGGCGUAAAAGGAAGGGAGAGGUGGUCUGUGGCCGGCAUGCAGAAAGUCGUUGUCCUGCAGCCACCGUGGCAGAUUUCGGAAAUGACACUGCUUCCAGGAUGCUUCCCAUACCUUGAAAAAUAUUCCAAGUGCUACACACCUUACGAACAAAUUCCUCAGCCUGUUCUGCGGCGUUAUGAGCUAAGGCACCUAAGUCAAUUUCGUUACUAAGGACUCCAGCUUUCAAAACCUCUGUCAUCUGAAACAAUUAUGCAGACCUCGCAAUCCAAUAAGUGAUCAUCUUCAGGAGUCGAUGGUAAAGGACAUCCAACACCAUCCUCCUCCUCGGCAAGGCAGCUAACAUCGUCAUCUUCCAAC